UUUUUAAUGGGAAAGAAAGGAUUCAAAUUCAGUUUUGUUUAGAUUCCCUAGAUUCCCACUGUUGUACAUGGAAAGCUGUCCUUUUAAAUCCAGUACACUAGCUUAAAUUAUUAUGCCAUGAAGUGAAGAAACAGACAGUGGGUCGACAAAUAAGAAAAGAAGAGAGUAGGCUACCUCAGCUCAUGGACAUAUGAAGACACAUGAGAAAGCUGAAGCAUAAAUUAAUUACUCAGAAUUGCAUACUGUGUAUUUCACAUCUACGACAUUCAUAAAAUAUUCUAUUAUAUUCUAUUAAGCAUAGUCUGAUCUUACAGACCUGUAAGUUACAGUGACUGAGAACACGUAUCUCUUACUAACUUCAUGGUUCAUCCAAAUUUCAUCUGUAACUUGGCCUGUACUUGGCCUGACCUUCAAACUGUAACUUUGAUGGAACUGGUGAAAACCUCAGAUUGGAGAAUUUGCAGGUAAUCUCAUUGCAUCGUCAUUUCAGAUACUGUAUGUUCUCAUUGAGAGAUAUCUUGAAGAGAACAAAAUCUGUUUCCUCACACCAGAGAUUCAGAAAGAUCUGUAGCUGAACUCCUUUUCAGGUCUUAGGUCUAAAGUUUGUGAUCCUUCUGCAGACUGCAGACAGCCUGAAAAGCCCGGAAAUAAGGAAAAUUUCUACAGAGUUAAACUGGUACCAGGCUACUGGUGGAACUGGGUAGGAUGUAAGUGGUAUAAGAAACACUGGAGUCUCUUUGUUAGGCUACAAAUGCUACUGAUCAUGAAUGUAAACUGAAGUCUCAUGGAGAGAUAUUCCCUGACUUCUAGUUUUCAGACAGUUGAGUCAGAUUCUCCUAUGUCAUUUACAACUGUUUGUAUCGAGUGGCGUCAGCACUGUCAUCCAGAUUUACAGACAGGAUUCAGGUCUCUCUCUCUCUCUUUUUUUUUUUUUUUUUGUAAAAAAUAUAUAAAAAGAAGUUUGACUUCAAAUUAACAGGUACAAACAAGUGUUUUAUCUCUAUUAAUAAUCUUGACUGCACAAGGAACUCUUUUGUUUCUGAAUAUCUGAUUGUUGGUACUUGUAGAAAUAUGGUCCUCUUCAACAAAGCCAAAAAAGAGUUCUUAUACACUGCUCUAAUGCCUCUCAUAUAUCUCUCUGAAAGGCAAGAGAAAGAGUGUAAAGCAUCAGUGCCAACUAAGUCAGGCUGCUGGUGAAUUCUCCCCGGGAUCAAGUGUCAUUAUGUGAAACUGGCUGCUCUCGAGGAGAAUUUACCCUACUCUGUUGAUUGGGGAAAGCAAUCAAGUACCGCUGGAACCAGUUCAAUGCAUUCUCAGUCAACACUAGCCAGUCACCUAGGUACUGCAACAGAAUCCAGCCUUUUACAGAAUAAACCCCCAUGGCUAGAUCUGAUAGUACAAACAAGGCCAGGCUUCCUUUUCAACAGUGGUAUUCAAACCAUUUAUGACUUUGACAAGGGCAGCCUCAGUAGCAUGUCUGUGGCUGAAGCCAGGACGAGAUUUAUCAAACAAUCUGCUACUGUCCAAAAUUCCUCUCACUGGCACUGCCACCACUUUCUCUGGGAGCUUGUCGAAAACCAGCAGGAAAUACAGCAUUUCCAUUGCUUGUUAUGUUGCACAGGAUCCCAGCGUGAGGUGAGAUGGCUGUGGGCAUGGUAAUUACUCCCCUUCCAGGAGCAGCCUUUUAGAAUUUCCGGGCUGUUGAGUUCCUAAGAGUGGUAUUUACCCAGGUAAAAUGCUUGAGUGUGUAUGUUUCUCCCUCCGCAUCCUAUUUAGCUGUAUGCCAUUACAGUGCAUCUCUGCCACCUUCAUCUUUUGAUACCUUCUCUGAAUUUAAUUUACUCCAGUUUAGCAGAUAAUUGCAAAAAAUGUAAACUCAUGCAGUAAAAAAAAAGGGAAGAGAAUCAAACAAAGUGAAUCAAUAGAAGCCUUACUUCGUACAGUAAUUUAUCAGCAUCUUCUGCAAUAUAAUCUCCUCGAAACUCAGUGCAACUGCUGGUAUUUACAGAGUACAGUAUGGCUUAGACUCCAAUAUACAAUUUUAAUUAUAACUGCAUUCAAAAGCACAUUUUUCAUCUAAUUUUUGUAUUUUAUAUGAACUAAAUACUAAACUACAGCAUUUUCUGCUUCAUUUACAUAAUCCUCCACUUGAACAUUAUUUCUUACUGUGGUAUAGUGCUUUAUGAGGAUACAUUAAAAAAAAACUAAUAAAAGUUCAAUUAAACAUCAUAAAUGUAGCCAAGUGCAUAUUUUAAUACUCUUCAGAGAUAAUGUUGCUGAAGUGUUAUAAAAAACCAAACUAGGGCUUCCUUAGUGUACAACAAUUGCAGAUAAUAAAAACAGCUUAAAUCAUAAUUCUAAAUAUAGGACCAGUUUCACCACUUUAGUAAUCCAGACCCUAAAAGGUGGGUGUGCUGGAAGGGAGCAGAAGAGCAGAAUGAACCACCUUAGAAUCUGAUCAGAGCCAGAGGCAAAGCAGAAGAAAUGGGCAUAGCCAGGGUCAGCCCAUGCCCAGUUUGGAAUUUGUGCCAGUAGGCCAUGACCCUUAAAUACAAGAAGAGAAGGAAAUCCUGUAAGGACAAGAUAACAACAUAAAGUAAAAUGUCGGUGUAUACAGUCCUGCCUAUUUGUUUCAGACAAGGAUACACUGGAAAAUAUACCAGGAUCACUUCUGACAUAUUGUGUCACAGAUAAGGAUGCUCAUCCUGGGGGUAAAUAAUGGGGCUGAAGCUGGGAAGCAGGUAUUACUGUACAAAAUAGCGUCCCACCUGAUGCAUUGUGGCCUCCUGGCCAUUCCACAACUCAAAAUAAAUCAUGCUUAACUGCUGUGCCUGGGAUGGCACCUGGGGUGGAGGAGAGCCUAUGGUACUGUAUGAGACAGGUAUCUGGUUAUGGGAGUCUCUUGCUCACUAUGGCAGACCCAGCACGUUUGGAAAGUUCAGCAGAGGAGCAUAACUGUAGAGAGGGCAGGGAAGGUAUUGGUGACCCAUUUAAAUGCUUGUGCUACAGGCAUUUCAGAAAGACAGGAACAAAGGAUCUGAUUGGAGUCAGGCCAAAUGUAAGAAAAAUUUACUCAAUCACACAGCUACACAACUGCCAUCUCAAUGGGCUUAGUAUAACAACGUCAAUAGCUCAGAUUAGAUGAAUAGAUGAAUAGUUCAGAUACCUAGAGAGCGAGUUACUGUUGCAAAAAAAUAGCAGCCAAAAUUAAAGAAUGGCUUCUAAUUUAAAUGAAAUGAAGAAACAUGUGAUAAGUAGGGGUUCUUAUUUCUGCAAAAAUGCGAAAUUCCCCAGACUAAUAAUGUGAAUGUAGUGAAAUACCAGAGAUGAAGAGAGUCAAACUCCACUACAAAUUCCUGGGCAUGACCCGGAUUCAUGACUUAGAGAUACUCAUGUGAAAUCAAUACCUAGACUAAAACACGCAAGGGCAAAGUGUGUAUGCAAAAAGGAAGGAAGGAAAAAGGUAUUAACAAUAGGCACUCGAGCUCCCGUGUUAAAAACAGGAAGAAAUCUUUACAGUCUUGCAGUUAAACUACAGCUGUGCCUCUUUUCUUGUAUGUUAAAUAUUUUGAAAUCAACUAAUUUCAGUAGAAACUGAGGGAAACGCAGUCAAAAUCCUGGGAGAGAGGGUAGGACCACAGCUACCCAGGCUUACAUUGUUUUAAUAUGCCAGGCAAUACACCCUGAAUUCCCAAGAGGCAACUGCAAACCAAAGGCAGAAAGAUACUUCUGUGAGAGGAAGUACCUGGCAGCCAGCUCUGAUGAUCCCAGCACUGAUGAGUGAGGUGUGGAUGAAAUUAUGAGUGGCAGUACGUGUGAAACCUUGGCUCCAUCUACACUAGUGAAAGAAGCAGAGCAAGGAUACCAGCUCUAUCAUUGGAGCAUCCAUGCUGUUUGAUGGCUAAUACUCUUUGGCAUAGUUUUGAGCUUUCUCCCAGACAAUGCCUGGGCACAGCUGGAGGACAGCACAUGCCAAAGGCUGUUCUCAGGAGGCAGUGAGUGUUCUUUGUUUUGGGGAGUGAAGACAGUUCAGUCAUAUAAACAUAGCAGUGCUGGACAACUUGCCCAUAGGGAGAGGAGGGGCACGAAUAUAGGGUGUAAGCUCAAAUGAAGUCUGCAGUCCUGUGUUUUCUCUGGGACCAGGGUAUAACGGCUAUAAAUCCUUUAUCCCAUGGGAAUCUCCUGCUGGAGUUGUUUAAACAUCUACUUCCCACCAAAACAGGCUCCUAGAGAGUGUCCCUCUCUCAGGGACAUAAAGAAAGGGGGGAAGGUGGUUGUACAGAGAACAGGAAACUCAAUUAUUUAAUCACAGAAGCAGUGGAUGCAAGGUAGGAACUUAAUGUUAUUUUCUCAUGGGCAGCAUAUGCAUAAGAAAAUACAGUGCUACGAGCUAAAAGGAAGGAGGGAUAAAAUGGAAUUGUCAGAUGAAGUCUUGAAAUUGCCCAAAGCCAAGAAAUUGAGAACAUUUCAAAGUAAGCAUAUGAAUUUGUGACAAACUUAGUACGGCAGACACUGGUUUAUCUGAUAGGUAAUUGUCUAGGUGGCUGAUGAGAAGAAGGAGGAGUGUAUGUCUUUUCCUUAAAUGUGCUCCUGAGGGUGGGCUCAGCACUCUAGAAAUCUUUCAAAAUACUUCAGGAUACCAGGAGUCUUUGAGGCAAUUUGAUCAAGGUGAAGCAAGCUGGCUUCCACUGCCUGUGUGGGAGUCACAACCCAAGAGCACCUUUUCCUUUCCACACUGAGAAUGAAGAACAGGGAAAAAGAGACUGAAAAUGAGAGACUUGGGGUCCAAACCAAAACUAAGAGAUAUAGUAAGAAGUUAUCACUUCAGCUUUUUAUGAGCUUUAUGCAUGAUACCUUUACAGCCAGAGUAUUUCUUGGACAUACGUUUUAUCUAUAGAUGGGAAUACUGUCUCACUGUAGGAUACAUUCUUAAAGCUGGGACAGUAUCAAGCUGCUGAGUGUAUGUACCACCUGAAUCCAUGGAAAGAACAUUCAACAAAAGAUUAAAAAAAAAUCUUGAAAAAAAAAAGUGGAAGGUUUAUUACUUUGACCCCAAAAGGCCAGAAAAAAAGAGAAAACAAAGAGAAGUGAAAAAACAAACAAACCACAUACGAAGUUUGAAAGGGUAAGCCACGAUGCAAGUCAGAAAAUAAUCCCAAGGAACAAGUUCUGAUGUAGCCAUAAGGAGAGCUGGGAAGCUGAGUAUGCUCUGCUCUUUUCAUACCACACAUGCAGUGUUUGGAGGAGGUGUGAGACUGUGCCCUCGGGCACCCACAGCAUGUCUGUGCUUAUCACUUCAAGGACAACAGACUUGUUCCUAAAUGCAGUUAUUGGGAAUUCUAUCAUUCAUUGAAAUUACAGCGGGACUGAAUUUGGCUUGAAGCAUUAUGAUGUAGCUUUUAAAAUGUUCUCUUCAUGGAGUCAGAAACGGCCAACAAUCCAGGAAAUCUUGUUAUGAAUUAAUACUGGGAGCAACAUGGAUGUCGCUUAUACGUGCGCUAUGCUGGAUACCUUGAAGAACAGGCAGUAAACAAUGGCAGAUCAGGAAAAGCAGUAUUUUGUCUGCCUUUUGAAGACUCUUAGCUAUAUUUACUUUUAUAUUUUUGAUGCAUGUGUGUACAGCACUCUGCCAAGCAAGAUAUACUUUUUAUUGACCUACUUGUGUUCCAAUUUAUUGCCAGUGACAGCUGUUGUCAAUGAUCUGGAGAAAAUAAAUUGAGACUAAAGCAGAGACGCCGAUUGGUCAAAAAAAUUAUUGUUUUAAAUAGAAUAAAAGAGAUUUAGUCUUUUCAAACUACAGAGUCUGAUUAAAAUGAAGACUUUAAAGCUACGGCUAGAUUACAGUAAUUCCAAACUUCAUGGAUUAUGAGAUGAAAUACUUCAUAGGCAUCAUUUUGAACAAAAUGCUGCCAUUAGGAUUACUAUGUGACUUUAGAUGUACAGUACUGCAUUUCUUCAAAUCCUCUGCUGUGGUACUAUAAGGAUUUGAAAGACACUGGCUGCCGUGUUUAAUUUGAUCCUUCUAACAUGAGUCAAAUUUGUUGACAUUUAACAUUUGCAGCCAGUCCAAUCUGGUACAUUUCAGUGACUUCUCUAUGGUAAAUUUAGGAUCAAGGUCUAGAAUAGCUGGUAUUCAGCGGUGUUUCCUAGAUACAGCUUGCGGAUGACAGUUGUAGUACUAGAAAGUCUCCCUCCUCUAGUUAGCACAACAGGCAUUUAGACAUUUGUGUUUUUUAAGGGCAAAUUAAGACAUAUUUAACUUCUGUGUUUCAUCUUAUUUGGCAUUUUAGAUUUUUUUUAAUGGGCUGCAAAUUGCUUGGGGACAUUCUACCUGUAAGGCACUAUACACCAAUGGUUUUAUUGUAUCUCUCCCUGAAAAGGUGAAACAGCUGUGCUGAAGAUUCCUGCCACAGAAAUCACAUGUAUCACUAAUGGAGAAAGCAAGUGAUAAAAGCCUCUUAGAUGACAGAGAUGACCUGAUCCUGAUCUGACCUCCUGGCUUGACCUUGGACCUGCCUCAUCACCUUCUUUCAUGUCUCUGUGACUGGAACCCCCUGCUGGCGUAGCCUCCACUCCAUCAGCCAUCUUCUGUCCUUCUGCUCCUGGCUCCCCAUCCCUGAGGGAACAGCCAGUCCUCACUACUUCCUGAUGAUCAGAGGUUUAAUUUAUGAUGAUAAAUGAAAUACUUUAUAAACUAUGUCUCAUUCAUUGUGCAAUGUACGGUAUUACUAUAAUAAUACUCAGCUCCUGAUGAAGACAUUAUAAUUCCCUUUUGAAAUGCAGAAAGCUACAUCGUUUACUGUAUUUUAAAGUUAUCUGUACUUACAUAUCAUCAAAUAUAAGCUUUGUCCUUCUGCAGUCCCUGGGUGUGCUGGACAGAGGUGACCAAGGCUCUGUUUGGGUUUGUGGCUUAUUGCAGAGAAGAACAUUUUCUGAAUUGGUGUGAACUGCUUUCUAGAAGACAAACAGCAUAGAAGACAUUGAGCUUCUAACUUCAAAAAAACAACCAAUAAAGCACAGAUAGUCUUUGCAUUAUGCUGUAAAUUGUCAGUUAGUUUUCCUACUAUUCCAGCAAGUAAGAUGUGUAACUGUCCUGUCACUGACAGCCACAUAUUCACAGAUGCUGCUCAGAGCACUUUGUAAAAGGCCUGAGUUUUGAUGUGAUACACAGAUGAAAUGGAGCUGAACUAUUAGUAAUCAUCAGAACACUCUGUAACAAAGUCAGUGAAAUUGUUUGGUCACUGAGAAGAUGAAAUUACACCUCCAGCCUUCAGCUUCCAAACCAGCAUUGUACUUUGCCCCGGGACAGCGAGGCGAGCCCCAGUUUGCCCUUCGCUUAUAACCACUGCCAGAAAACAUUACCACUUCUCCUUCAGGUAGAGGAUGGAAAUUUAAUAGGGAAACGCACAAAAAAAGUUAAAGUGGAUAAAAACUACUUCCCAGCUUAGGAUCCCUGACAGAAAUUCAAGAGACCACCUGGGCACGCCACCUAGAUACCCCAUGAAGGGAAGAGAUAAAAUGAAGCUACGUUUAACAUUUAUAGUUCAUGAGUUCUCAUAUUCUGUAUGGCACAUCCAGAUCGGUUCAGACAGCUAAAGUUUUCAGAUGAAUAAUCAGAUACAUAAGAAUUUUAUUGCAAAGGUUUUUAAAAUGUUGACCAAAUGGUGCAUUGCUGGGCUAUGCAGAAAAUCUCAGUGAAAUUCAUUUGCUGAGGGUGUGCAUCAUAAAGCAAUCACCUUCUACUUUUGAUUUCCAGCACAUUUGCCUGUGAAGAAAUUUACAUUGUUUUCAGGAUAUUCAGUGAAGACUCAUAUCAUUACGAUUCUGAAUGGAUUAUAAACCUCUAAACUUAUGUUUUAGAAGUUUAAAAAUUUACAUUUAAUCCAUAAAAAGAUAAAUCUACCGCUGCUAUGUGUUAAAAUGUCUUUUAACUUGAAGGGCAUAACUAAUGACAACUUAAUUUUAGACGUUGUAAAAUAAUAAGAUUAUAUUUACUACUCCCCUCUUCACUCUUUAAAAAAAAAAUACAAUUAAGUAUAUACAUAGGUCUUUAUGGGCCAGUUAUCCUCACAGGUCAGUUAUCCCUGCAGCAAAAGUUGCUGGAAGAGACCACUGGUACAACUCAGAUAUUCUCGUUUCCUGAAAGCUACUUAGGCACUAAAUACUUUGGCUUUUGAAACCUCUUAUGUAUCAAAUACCAUACCAUUUAAAAACAAAUAUACACUGGAUAAAAUCUUCUGUAGCGAAGAAAGGAAUACGAGCCUUUCUAGCAGCAGAAGAGUGCCUCAGCAACUUGACUAGAUGCUACAGCAGUGGAUAUCAAUAUGACAGUAUCCAAGUUACUUCUUCUAGGUAUUUCACACAAAGCUGCAAGGGGCAACAUUCUGUCCUUAGUCUUCUAACCACAGUGUCCUGCAGGCUGGAUGGUAGGAUACUAUUUGGAGAGGUGAGAGAAAUAUGAAUCCCCUCAACCAGAAGUGCUAACAGACUCUUUAGCCCAGUGUUCUAAUCACAGAGCUCAUGGAUAAAGGAAGGGGAACAUCCACUCCCACUCUCUGUACUCUGAAGACAGUGGCUAGCCCCCAGUUUAGUAAUAAGUCCUUACGAGGAAGGGUACUCUGGAAACUUUUAGUGUCAUUAAGAUUCUCUGACAGGAUAAACAUCUAAAUGCCUGGGCUGUGGUCGAGAUGAGUUGCAAGACUCAUGCUACGAUGUUCAGUGAUGUCAACAGCAAGCAGUAGUGUAUGAGAAAGCUGGUUGGAAGCCACAGAGAAUUACUUAAAUCCAGGUACACUCACAGUUAGGCAGUGGCUGAGCAGAGAUCUUAUGCAGUGCACCAUACUUCUGGAUGUGGGGGCCUUGCAUUAUGCCCAAGAAAUAGUCUACAGGCCUAAAUCCAUUAAUUCUGGGCCACUAGGUUUUAUCUUUUGCUUAUGUAGCCUUUGUUAUUUGUCCAAUUUACAGCCUGCCUUCUUGUCAUUCUUCUGUGCCUUGCUAAACCCCAAGAUAGAAAAACCAAACUUACAGUACCAUAUUCAUUAUUACAACUUUUUAGCAUAAGAUUCUGCAAAGUUAUCAUAGAUUCAAUGCAAAAUGAAAACUAUCAAGAUAGGGUUUUAUAUUGUGAACAACAGUACAACUUACAUUGAAGUCUCCGAGAUGUGGCUGUGACUGGAUUUCACCCUUAUGCUUUUUGCUGGAGGAGAUGGAAGGUAAUAGACUGCUGCCAUUAGGUCUGCUGGAGGAAGUUAAAUCAUCGUUGGAGUAUUUGUGUUUUGAUGCAUCAGAGAGGGGAGAGACGGGUGACCGAAGCACUUUCUCAUUUUUAUUUAUUGGUAGUGCCAAACUGGAAAUGGAAAUUACAGUAAUGGAGUGUCACAGAGCUGGGUUUCAGAAAGGUAAAUGUUUUAUAUAUUACCAAAACUUUGAAUUUAAAACCUGCUGGCAGUAUAAAGUCUAUUGGUAUCUGGUAACAAGCUUACAGUAUUGGGACCAAGAGUUCAUUUACAAAUGUGUAUCAUGUUUAUCCUCUUUUCCUUCAAGGCAAAUUGUAAUUCUGGAGUUAAUACCAAGUCUGUAUCAGCGUGCUUGAAAAAAAUACAGAGAUAAAUGGCCACUUGCUCACCAUCUCUUAAGGGAUAGCCAGAGAUGAAGAUUAGACUCUGAAGUGUAAGUUUAGGUUAUGGAGCCCUAUUUCACUAUUAGAGGUGACAAUUUAUAAGCCACGGCAAUAAAGCCAUAUGUGAACUAAAAGAGGAAAUGUGUUUAAAGAUGACUGGGUUGUCUUUGUGCUCAAUGGGCAGCCCUUGGUAGCACUGUUUAUUCUGAUCUAACACCGAUUUUAAAGACAAAGAAAGAUAGGCUGGUACUGCAGACAAAAGGAAACAUAUGCAAAUGGUAGACACAGAGAAAUGUGAGCUGCUCUACACUGUAAAGAAGAAAGCUAUACAAUAUUUUCAUUUAUAUUAGCGAAGCUUUGGAUGAGAGGUAUAACGAGCUAUAAAAAUAUCUCCAAAAUAAGUUCUAGAUGCACUAAUUUAAAGAAAAUAUGUACCUGGUAACUUUAAAGCCACACGCACAGAAUAAGCAUUCUUGAGGAGAUGGUUUGCAUUUAAGACGAAAACUGUGAUUAAGGUCAGGCAGACUAUUUUAACACAAUACCUUCCCUUGUCACAUUCCCCUUUAUUCAGCCUAUUACUUUUUAUGGACAAUUCUCACUUCUUUAUAGUUACUGUAUCAGACAGUGUACACUUAAUGGAAUCGCAAAACGGAAUACGGUACAAAAUAUACUUUAUUUCUGCACAUCAUUUCAGGGAACAGAGCUAAUUAAAUGUGCUCUUAUCAUACAUUUGUCCAUUUAUCUGGCACGUCUUUAAAAACUAGCUGCGAGAGAAGCCAUGAAUCAUCAUUCAGAACCCUUCCCGUUUCCCACAGUGUAGCACUUUUAAAAGACAACACAAACUGUUUUGCUUUAAUGACCAAGUGCUGUUUAUGAAUGAAGGAGUUGGGGUGCGUAAAAUGGACAGCUGCCUUGUUCUUUUCCCUCCAAGAAAAAUAAGAACUUCAGCACUAUUUCGAAUGUGCAGGCUGACACUGUUAUUUCUUUUCCCUUUUUCAAACAUAAAACCAUGUCUUGGCUAGCCAUGUUUAUACAUCACAGUCGAAGUGCAGGACUACAGCAUCCAAGAGAAGACAUGGCUCUUUGGAAGCGUACCCAAGCCUCAAAAGCUUGGCCCUGAGCUUGAGGACUAGCUGCUAUUUCUAUCUGUGUGGCAAGCCUUUUGCAUGGCCCCUGGUACUUUACCUGAGGCCCACCUACACGUACUGUGAGCAGUCAAACUAUAGCAUCCCAACCUUGUUAUCCUGAGAAGCUGUGCAAAACAACAUGCAGCACGUUCUAGUCUGCUGGGACUUCACAGAUAGCAGACCUGAUGUAGAUGUAAGACAUGUAGGGUUACUCUGCCUGCUGCGGUGGCCUUUUGUAUCAAACAAGGCCUUGCUCAGUCUGUACACUGGAGGAAAGGUUGUUGUAUGUUGCCAAUGGCUGUAAGUUGUGCCAGGGGAAGUUCAGGUUGGAGAUUAUUAAAAAAAACCUAUUCUCAGAAAGAGUGGUGAGGCAGUGGCACUGGUUGCCAAGGGAGGUGUUCAAGAACCGUGUGGAUGUGGCACUGAGGGAUGUGGUUAGUGGGCAUGGUGUGGGUGGGCUGGUGGUUGGACUACAUGAUCUGAAAGGUCUUUUCCAACCUUAAUCGUUCUACGAUUCUACAUUAGGCUCUACAACAUCAAAUUCUCACAUCUGAAGGUGUUUUUGCUCCUCUUUGCUACCAGCUAUCAGUUGUGCUGACGUAACUGUCAGUGCAUGACCUACAGUAGCAUAAACCACACAAACUUCUGGGAAGCAGGGCAGAUGAGGGGAGAAUUAAGAAGCAAAUAUUCAAGACUUUCUUUUUUUUUUAUAUUUAUUUCUUUAAUGCACAGUUACUAUCAGAAGUACUGUACACAGCAUAAAGCAAAAUGCAAAUUAAUGCCCUGCUUCCAGGAAGCUUGGAAUUAACCUUGUGACACAGAGUGUGGUAACAGGAAUGGUGUGUCUUAAAAUAAACUGUUCCAUGUUUUUUUUUUUUUUUUUACUUUAUGAAAUGUGACUUAUUCCAGGAUAAAGAAAUUGAAUGCAUACUUUUGAAUAAGCAGUAUACGUGUUUGUUUUCAUCACGAUUCUUCGCCAGUGCUAAUGACAAUUGUUCAGACUCAUCAGUGAUGUGAACAAUAGAAAUACUUAUUGCAAUAAACAGAAAUAUUCUUUAA